rnacentral:ncRNA from 1 species
GGGUGGAGGCGCUGUAAUUAAUAGUAUUUAUUUUUAGUUGGCAGACAUUUGAGAGAUAAAGAAAGGAAUUACAGCCGAAAAAUUAGUUUGGCGGAACUGAUUUUGGCUUUGUAUAAAAUAUAUAUAAAGCUGUCACUAAAAUAUGUAAUAAUUGGUGUAUUUUCAUUGAUGGAAUUGGGUAAGACUAUUUUAGUGGAGAGCUACA